CUGUGACUCCUACGGGAGGCAGCAGUGGGGAAUAUUGCACAAUGGGGGAAACCCUGAUGCAGCCAUGCCGCGUGGUGUGAAGAAGGCCUUCGGGUUGUAAAGCACUUUCAGUAGGGAGGAAGGUAGUGUAGUUAACACCUGCAUUAUUUGACGUUACCUACAGAAGAAGCACCGGCUAACUCCGUGCCAGCAGCCGCGGUAAUACGGAGGGUGCGAGCGUUAAUCGGAAUUACUGGGCGUAAAGCGCAUGCAGGCGGCCUGUUAAGUCAGAUGUGAAAGCCCGGGGCUUAACCUCGGAAUUGCAUUUUGAAACUGGCAGGCUAGAGUCUUGUAGAGGGGGUAGGAAUUUCAGGUGUAGCGGUGAAAUAGCGUAGAGAUCUGAAGGAAUACCAGUGGCGAAGGCGGCCCCCUCGGACAAAGACUGACGCUCAGAUGCGAAAGCGUGGGGAGCAAACAGGAUUAGAUACCCUGGUAG
rnacentral:rRNA from 1 species